rnacentral:rRNA from 1 species
CCCCUAGUAACUGCGAGUGAAGCGGGAAAAGCUCAAAUUUAAAAUCUGGCGGCUUCGCCGUCCGAGUUGUAAUCUGGAGAAGCGUUUUCCGUGUUGGACCGUGUACAAGUCUCUUGGAACAGAGCGUCAUAGAGGGUGAGAAUCCCGUCUUUGACACGGACUACCAAUGCUUUGUGAUACGCUCUCGAAGAGUCGAGUUGUUUGGGAAUGCAGCUCAAAAUGGGUGGUAAAUUCCAUCUAAAGCUAAAUAUUGGCGAGAGACCGAUAGCGAACAAGUACCGUGAGGGAAAGAUGAAAAGCACUUUGGAAAGAGAGUUAAACAGUACGUGAAAUUGUUGAAAGGGAAACGCUUGAAGUCAGUCGCGUUGUCCGGGACUCAGCCUUGCUUCUGCUUGGUGUAUUUCCUGGUUGACGGGCCAACAUCGAUUUUGGACGGCGGAUAAAGGUGAGGGGAAUGUGGCAUCCUCGGAUGUGUUAUAGCCUCUCGUCGGAUGCGUCGUCUGGGAUCGAGGACCGCAGCACGCCUUUUUGGCCGGGGUUCGCCCACGUAACGUGCUUAGGAUGUUGGCAUAAUGGCUUUAAGCGACCCGUCUUGAAACACGGACCAAGGAGUCUAACAUGCCCGCGAGUGUUAGGGUGGAAAACCCUUGCGCGUAAUGAAAGUGAAAGUUGGGACCUCUGUCAUGGAGGGCACCGACGCCCGGCCUUGAACUUCUGUGACGGCGCCGCGGUAGAGCGUGUAUGUUGGGACCCGAAAGAUGGUGAACUAUGCCUGAAUAGGGCGAAGCCAGAGGAAACUCUGGUGGAGGCUCGUAGCGAUUCUGACGUGCAAAUCGAUCGUCAAAUUUGGGUAUAGGGGCGAAAGACUAAUCGAACCAUCUAGUAGCUGGGUCCUGCG